rnacentral:rRNA from 1 species
UGGGGAAUAUUGGACAAUGGGCGCAAGCCUGAUCCAGCCAUGCCGCGUGAGUGAUGAAGGCCCUAGGGUUGUAAAGCUCUUUCACCGGUGAAGAUAAUGACGGUAACCGGAGAAGAAGCCCCGGCUAACUUCGUGCCAGCAGCCGCGGUAAUACGAAGGGGGCUAGCGUUGUUCGGAUUUACUGGGCGUAAAGCGCACGUAGGCGGACUAUUAAGUCAGGGGUGAAAUCCCGGGGCUCAACCCCGGAACUGCCUUUGAUACUGGUAGUCUUGAGUUCGAGAGAGGUGAGUGGAAUUCCGAGUGUAGAGGUGAAAUUCGUAGAUAUUCGGAGGAACACCAGUGGCGAAGGCGGCUCACUGGCUCGAUACUGAAGCUGAGGUGCGAAAGCGUGGGGAGCAAACAGG